AAGAUCAUACUUUUAGGGAUCAUUUCUAAAGUAUGUCUUGCCGAGACGUCGAGUAAAAUCGAUCGGCACGUAGGCCUAAACCACGAUGACGAGAUUGCGUCAGUUCCUCUGAGCGUGAAGUUGAGGCUGGCAUGACUACUGCUCUCGUAGUCAGGCCGUGUCUCGGUGAGGAUCGUUCCUUUCCUCCCUCAGUGGGGACAAGGAGGGGGAACUGGCAAUCAGAGUGGU